rnacentral:rRNA from 1 species
AUGGGCUCACGGCGUUUUCAUCCCCGCAGCGCAGCCGCCGCCGCCGCCGCCGUCGAGGAGCUCGAGCUGCUCGCCCCGAGGGCCUUCGCGGGCGCCGGAAUGGACCGCCACGACCUGGGCGCGUCCGGGGAGAUCGAGAAGACGCCGCGCGAGGCCGCCGCGCCAGACAUGGAGUCGGAGCCGGCGGCGGCGCGCGCGGCGGAGCGCGUGCCGCCGUGGCGCGAGCAGGUGACGGUCCGCGGGAUGGUGGCGGCGCUGCUCAUCGGCGUGGUGUACACCGUGAUCGUCAUGAAGCUGAGCCUCACCACGGGGCUCGUCCCCACGCUCAACGUCUCCGCCGCGCUGCUCGCCUUCCUCGCGCUCCGCGGCUGGACGCACGCGCUCCACCGCCUCGGCAUUGCCUGCCGCCCCUUCACCCGCCAGGAGAACACCGUCGUCCAGACCUGCGCCGUCGCCUGCUACACCAUCGGCUUCGGCGGUGGGUUCGGGUCCUUCUUGCUGGGGCUGGACAAGAAGACGUACGAGCUGUCCGGGGUGAACACGCCGGGCAACGUGCCGGGGAGCUACAAGGACCCCGGCAUCGGCUGGAUGAUGGGCUUCCUCCUCGCCAUCAGCUUCGUCGGCCUCCUCACCCUGCUUCCUCUCAGAAAGGUACUGGUCAUCGACUACAAGCUAACUUACCCAAGUGGGACUGCCACUGCCGUCCUCAUAAACGGGUUCCACACACCUCAAGGAGAUAAGAAUGCAAGGCAGCAGGUUCGUGGGUUCCUCAAGUACUUUGGGAUCAGCUUCUUCUGGAGCUUCUUCCAGUGGUUCUACACCGGCGGCGACGUCUGUGGGUUCCUCCAGUUCCCCACCUUCGGGCUAAGAGCCUGGAAGCAAACAUUUUUCUUCGACUUCAGCCUGACGUAUGUUGGCGCCGGGAUGAUCUGCUCGCACCUCGUCAACCUCUCUCUCCUCUUCGGCGCCGUCCUCUCUUGGGGCGUAAUGUGGCCGCUCAUGAGCAAGCAGGAGGGGAAGUGGUACUCAGCCAAGGCGUCUGCAAGCAGCAUGACAGGCCUGUACGGCUACAAGGCCUUCCUCUGCAUUGCGCUGCUCAUUGGCGACGGCUUCUACAACUUCCUCAAAGUCAUCCUCGUCACCCUCAAGAGCAUACACGAGAAAUCGCAGCGCGGCCGUCUCAACAGAGUGGCGGAUGAGGACUCGGUGGCCAUCGACGACCUGCAGCGCAACGAGGUGUUCAACAGGGACAACAUCCCGGCGUGGGUGGCCUACGCCGGCUACGCCCUGCUCAGCGCCAUGGCGGUGGUGGCCAUCCCGCUCAUGUUCCGGGAGGUGAAGUGGUACUUCGUGGUGAUCGCCUACCUGCUGGCGCCGGCGCUCGGGUUCUGCAACGCCUACGGCACCGGCCUCACCGACAUGAACAUGGGCUACAACUACGGCAAGGUGGCGCUCUUCGUGUUCGCGGCGUGGGCGGGGAAGGACAACGGCGUGGUGGCCGGGCUGGUCACCUGCGGCCUGGUCAAGCAGCUGGUGCUCGUCUCCGCCGACCUCAUGCACGACUUCAAGACGGCGCACCUGACGCUGACGUCGCCGCGGUCGAUGCUGGUGGGGCAGGCCGUGGGCACGCUCAUGGGCUGCGUCGUGGCGCCGCUCACCUUCUUCCUCUUCUACGAGGCCUUCGACGUGGGCAACCCGGACGGGUACUGGAAGGCGCCCUACGCGCUCAUCUACCGCAACAUGGCCAUCCUCGGCGUGGAGGGCUUCUCGGCGCUGCCGCAGCACUGCCUGCAGCUCUGCGCGGCGUUCUUCGCCUUCGCCGUGCUGGCCAACCUGGCGAGGGACUUCCUGCCGGGGCGGUUCGGGAGGUUCGUGCCGCUGCCCAUGGCCAUGGCCGUGCCGUUCCUCGUCGGCGCCAGCUUCGCCAUCGACAUGUGCGUGGGGAGCCUCGUGGUGUUCCUCUGGCACAAGCUCGACGGGAAGAAGGCCGCGCUGCUCAUUCCGGCCGUCGCCUCCGGCCUCAUCUGCGGCGACGGGAUAUGGAUAUUCCCGUCGUCGCUGCUCGCGCUGGCCAAGAUCAAGCCGCCGAUGUGCAUGAAGUUCACGCCCGGAAGCUAG